rnacentral:rRNA from 1 species
CAGGAUGAACGCUGGCGGCGUGCCUAAUACAUGCAAGUCGACGAGGUAGCAAUACGACGUGGCGAACGGGUGAGUAACACGUAGGUAACCUGCCCUUAAGCUGGGACACCCAGAGGAAACUUUGGCUAAUACCGGAUAACAACAGAGAAGGCAUCUUCUUUGCUUGAAAGGCCCCUUCAAGGGUCACUUAAGGAUGGACCUGCGGCGCAUUAGCUAGUUGGUGAGAUAACAGCCCACCAAGGCGAGGGAUGCGUAGCCGAACUGAGAGGUUGAUCGGCCACAUUGGAACUGAGACACGGUCCAAACUCCUACGGGAGGCAGCAGUAAGGAGUUUUCGGCAAUGGGGGAAACCCUGACCGAGCAACGCCGCGUGAGGGAUUGAAGGUCUUCGGAUCGUAAACCUCUGUCAGAAGGGAAGAAAGCAGCGGGUGCCAACCAGCCUGCUGUUGACGGUACCUUCAAAGGAAGCACCGGCUAACUCCGUGCCAGCCGCCGC